AUAAAGUUUGUGGUACAAAGUAUUUGUUUUUCUUUUCUCCUUGUUUUAAUGAUUUGUUUUCUUCCUUAUCUGAUUCUAGCAUGAAGUGAUGAAAUAUUUGAUCACUAAAAUAACGCCUGCAGCUCCUGUUCCUGUACAGACAGGAAGUAGAGUCAGAAUUUAGACCAAGCACACAAUGUUGCCUGAUUUAAAGCAACAGAUGUAAACAGAGCUGUGUGAUUGGCUAAGAGAACCCCCUGAAUUAAACUACUUAUUAUCGACAAUUUUUUUUUUUUUAACCAAAAUUCAUCCCUAACCCAUCGAGAGGAUAUAAAUCAAUAAAGAUUCUGAAACCAGAAGUUAUGUUAAAGAUAUUCAGCGAUUUCUCAGAUGUUAAAGGGUCAAAUGUAUUACAUGUCAACUGGGGGCAUAACAAUACUACUGUAAAAAUAAAAAAUAAAACAUGAAUUGAUUGUAAUCAGUAUA